UUUCACAUCUCUCUUUAUUGCUUCUCUCUCACGCACAUACAUAUCUCAAAUAUGGAACUUCCUCCGAGAAGGGGACUAGUAAAGAUCAGAGUACUCAAGAGUCUCUACAAAUCCGCGACGGCGUUUGCAUCUUUGUCCGGCGAUGGUGGUGGACCAAACAACGGCAACGGAAUAGAAGACAAACAUCAUUCUCCUUCUACUCCACCACCGAUACUGAAUGGAUUUAAUUCCGAUCAAAAUAGCAACUGA